rnacentral:lncRNA from 1 species
UAGUCAACCCACCAACAACUAAAAAUUCUACUUUAUCUCCAAAUUUGAUAAGAAUGAGCGAUACUCAACAUAAAUCUAUAAUAACGAAGAAUACUCAAGACACAAAAAGAAUUUAACUAUAGAGCGGCUCUAAGAGUUCAAAGAAACGGCCAUAACAAUAAAUAAAAUUGCUGCCCACGCGAACAAAUGCGAGGCUCACCAGAAACUAUCAACUUGUGCGUCUGACUAACGAAAUCCUCGCCCUUCAACUGUUGUUUCUGGAAAAAAAAUAGCGGGGAGUGAGUCGCAUGCUCAGUGAGUAAUAACACUUAAGCACAACCGUUUUUAAUUGGGGACAAGUCAGAAAACAGUCUGCAUAAUAAUAAUUAGGAACUAUUAUAAAAAUAAAACGCCCUUUAAAAAAAAUAGUAAUAAUAAUUAGUCUCAUCAUGUGUUUCGUGUAAUAGAAAUCAAUUAAACAAUUCAGUAAUAGACUCGGUAAGCACUGUGUCAUAUCAAAUCUUUAUGUUUGGGAGGUUUCCAAGGAAGGAUCAUGUAAUCUGUAUCACUGUAUGGACCCCUUCGUAAAAGGAGUNNNNNNNNNNNNNNNNNNNNNNNNNGCGAGGGCUAUAACUGUAAUCGGUAAUCUGUAAAUACAAGGUGCACCAAGUCUAACGAACCCGCCGUUAGCUACGGGAUCCUUCAAAGUCUCCUCCCAUUUAUACUUUUCUUUGUAAACAGUAGAUAUUCAUACGAACGCAUUUUCAAAAUAGUACAGGGCAUUUCAGUUCUUAUUAAAUCAUAUAAUCUCGUUCGGUAAUAGUAAUCAUAUCUCAAAUAACAGUAAAACAUGUCUAGUAACAAUAAGAACAUCUAAAUAAUUGUAAAUAUUUCAAGUAAACUGUUCAGUACCAUAUUAAUAAAGGACUUGUCUCCACAUGCAAUUUCAAAUAUUCGGUAACACCUUUUAUUUUCAAAAAUAUAGUAUAAACCAUGCAGGUUAUAAAAAUACAAAUUGCGAUAAGAUUACUACUCACAGUACUCGUGUCGAAAUAUCAAACUCGUCAGCAAUCCGUAUGUCUUUUUGAAUCACCUAAAUUGCAUCAAUCUAUGUAUCAAUUCCAUGAACCAUCAACAUACCAAUUCACAAUAACCGACCUUUAUGCUUUCUUGUUUAACUCUUAAUUUGCCAAAUCAGAUUUUCCUACUCUACCCGAGAAUACUUGUAUACAUUAAUCAUGCUCUUUAAGUCAUAUAUAAAUUUCUUAGCCUAAGGCAGAGUUACUGUAGAAGCCAUAUGAUUCCAGAUUACCUUUAAAAUUUCUAGAGCUCGUUUAAGCUAAUAACUAACUAUGCCCUUAUGGAAGUAGCUUUCUGUCACAAAUUCUUCACUCAAAUUGAUUCAUAAUCUAUCGAUUUCAACCUUUUAUAUAAUUUACUCGUUAAAUUUUAUACUAAGUUAAAAACUUGUGUGUUUGGCCCUCUUUGUGGUAUAUAAUUAGACUAUUAUGUAGUUAGUGAACAAAAGAAGAAAACUUAAGAAAUCUGUCGAGAAGGCUCAAAUAAGGAGUUUAAAUGAUUACCCAAAGAAUCGAAAAUUAUUCGAAUUUGCAGAUGUUGCUGACUGUUGAUAACAUUCUUUGCUUUACAAUUUUGCAGUGUCAAACUUUUGCACUUUUUUUUUCUUUCUCCUUUGCCAAACAGGGAUAACUUCACUAUUUUUUAUUCUCUCCAACUCGUUGAACUCCCUCAAUUUUCUAAUUGCUAUGCUUGAUCCUCAUUGACAAGACCCUAAUCCUUUUGGUAUGCUGAAAUACGCCACCUUCUUCUUGGUGGGCUUUG